rnacentral:tRNA from 2 species
GCGAUCGUAGCUCAGCUGGUUAGAGCACUGGUUUGUGGUACCAGGGGUCGCGGGUUCAAGUCCCGUCGAUCGCCCCA